rnacentral:pre_miRNA from 1 species
AAAAAGACAAACCCUGAUUUCCGUGUCCAACGUUUGACCGUCCGUCUUAUUUGAAAAAAUUAUGAAAAAAAUUAAAAAAACAAGUCACGCAUAAAAUAUUAAUUAUGUUUUAUCAUUGAACAACAAUGAAAAUACAAAUUAUAAAAAAAAUUUAUAUAAGACGGACAGUCAAAGUUGGACAUGGAAAUCCAAGGUUUGCCUUUUU